CUCCGAAAGGUGUGCUAAUACCGGAUACGCUGAGAAAUCAGGAAAGGUGGCCUCUUCAUGAAAGCUACUGUAUCAGGAGGAGCUUGCGUACCAUUAGCUAGUUGGUGGGGUAAUGGCCUACCAAGGCAACGAUGGUUAGCGGGUCUGAGAGGAUGAUCCGCCACACUGGAACUGGAACACGGACCAGACUCCUACGGGAGGCAGCAGUGAGGAAUAUUGCGCAAUGGGGGCAACCCUGACGCAGCGACGCCGCGUGGAUGAUGAAGGCCUUCGGGUCGUAAAAUCCUGUCAGAUGGAAAGAAAUGUCAUAUGCCUAAUAUGUGUAUGAUUUGACGGUACCAUCAAAGGAAGCACCGGCUAACUCCGUGCCAGCAGCCGCGGUAAUACGGAGGGUGCAAGCGUUGUUCGGAAUUACUGGGCGUAAAGCGCGCGUAGGCGGCUUUUUAAGUCAGAUGUGAAAGUCCACGGCUCAACCGUGGAAGUGCAUUUGAUACUGGGAAGCUUGAGUACUGGAGGGGAUGGUGGAAUUCCCGGUGUAGAGGUGAAAUUCGUAGAUAUCGGGAGGAAUACCGGUGGCGAAGGCGACCAUCUGGCCAGAUACUGACGCUGAGGUGCGAAAGCGU
rnacentral:rRNA from 1 species